GCUUUAGUACUGGGGCUUCUCUCUCUUUAAGGGCAGCUGAAUAUUUUAUGUUUUCCAAGUUUCAGAGGUUGGCAGAAACCCUUCCUUUCUUCUCCCCAACCCUCAUCUCACACUGAGUCACUCUUUCAGGGCUGGGUAUUUAUUUACUAAAAGUUCUAGAUAGCAAUAGAUUUUAUUGUCCAAAUGCAAACUUCUCUUUGCCAUCACCUCAUUUGGAAAUAGCCACCAUAUGACCACCAAUGCAGUGUUAUCAGUUUGGUGUUCCAGCCUCCAGAUGUCUUUUGGGGGAUAGGUUUGCAUCUGUUAGAGAUGAAGGAACUAAGUGGCAUCAUGACUUUUCCUCAUGGAAAUUACUUGGGGGCAAACACAUUGUUCUGCCUUUCUUCUGAUGCAUUUUAAACUAAGUCAUCCUUUUGUUUUACCAACAGCAAAAACAAGCAUUUUUCAAAAACUGAAGUCAAUCAAAGGAGUACUAGCAAUAAAGAGGAAGAUUGUUAUCAUGGGGUGAAGAUGAGGCAAUGCCAAGUAUAGUGCAGCGUACAGAGCCUGGAGCAAGGUAUUUCCAGCCUUGUUUUGCAACCGAUAAAAAUGAGACUCAGAGGUGAAUGGCUUCCCAGAGUUUACAAAACUAGUAAAUGGCAGAAUAAAGACCUUCAAUCCAGGUUUCUUGGUUACAAAUGCUGUGCUCUUUCCUCCCGGACAUGAGUGACUCUCCCUUCUCUGGUUCUCCUCAUGCGAAUCCAAUUAGGUGCC